GAUGAACGCUGGCGGCGUGCUUAACACAUGCAAGUCGAGCGAGUGAGUUCUUCGGAACGAUCUAGCGGCGGACGGGUGAGUAACACGUGAGCAACCUGCCUCAUAGAGGGGAAUAGCCUUCCGAAAGGAAGAUUAAUACCGCAUAACAUCGUUGAAGGGCAUCCUUCGAUGAUCAAAGGAGCAAUCCGCUAUGAGAUGGGCCCGCGGCGCAUUAGCUAGUUGGUGAGGUAACGGCUCACCAAGGCGACGAUGCGUAGCCGACCUGAGAGGGUGAUCGGCCACAUUGGGACUGAGACACGGCCCAGACUGCUACGGGAGGCAGCAGUGGGGAAUAUCGCACAAUGGGGGAAACCCUGAUGCAGCAACGCCGCGUGAGUGAUGACGGCCUUCGGGUUGUAAAGCUCUGUCUUUGGGGACGAUAAUGACGGUACCCAAGGAGGAAGUCACGGCUAACUACGUGCCAGCAGCCGCCGUAAAAC
rnacentral:rRNA from 1 species